UAUAUUUUGGUGUAAGAUGCACAUAAGUUUUUGAUACUUUUAGAAAUAGUUUGAUUCUAUUAAAUAUAA
rnacentral:tRNA from 1 species